rnacentral:rRNA from 1 species
AUUGAACGCUGGCGGCAGGCUUAACACAUGCAAGUCGAGCGGGGUGAUGGUGCUUGCACUAUCACUUAGCGGCGGACGGGUGAGUAAUGCUUAGGAAUCUGCCUAUUAGUGGGGGACAACAUCUCGAAAGGGAUGCUAAUACCGCAUACGUCCUAUGGGAGAAAGCAGGGGAUCACUUGUGACCUUGCGCUAAUAGAUGAGCCUAAGUCGGAUUAGCUAGUUGGUGGGGUAAAGGCCUACCAAGGCGACGAUCUGUAGCGGGUCUGAGAGGAUGAUCCGCCACACUGGGACUGAGACACGGCCCAGACUCCUACGGGAGGCAGCAGUGGGGAAUAUUGGACAAUGGGGGGAACCCUGAUCCAGCCAUGCCGCGAGUGUGAAGAAGGCCUUAUGGUUGUAAAGCACUUUAAGCGAGGAGGAGGCUCUUUUGGUUAAUACCCAAGAUGAGUGGACGUUACUCGCAGAAUAAGCACCGGCUAACUCUGUGCCAGCAGCCGCCGUAA